rnacentral:rRNA from 1 species
AACGAACGCUGGCGGCAUGCCUAACACAUGCAAGUCGAACGAGACCUUCGGGUCGAGUGGCGCACGGGUGCGUAACGCGUGGGAACAUGCCCUUAGGUUGGGAAUAACUCCCCGAAAGGGGUGCUAAUACCGGAUAAUGUCUUCGGACCAAAGAGUUGUCGCCUUUGGAUGGGCCCGCGUUGGAUUAGCUAGUUGAUAGGGUAAAAGCAUACCAAGGCGACGAUCCAUAGCUGGUCAGAGAGGAUGAUCAGCCACACUGGGACUGAGACACGGCCCAGACUCCUACGAGAGGCAGCAGUGGGGAAUAUUGAACAAGGGGCGAAAGCCUGAUCCAGCCAUGCCGCGUGAGUGAUGAAGGCCUUAGGGUUGGAAAGCUCUUUUACCCGGGAUGAUAAUGACAGUACCGGGAGAAUAAGCUCCGGCUAACUCCGUG